rnacentral:rRNA from 1 species
AGCGAACGCUGGCGGCAGGCCUAACACAUGCAAGUCGAACGAACCUUUCGGGGUUAGUGGCGGACGGGUGAGUAACACGUGGGAACGUGCCUUUAGGUUCGGAAUAACUCAGGGAAACUUGUGCUAAUACCGAAUGUGCCCUUCGGGGGAAAGAUUUUUCGCCUUUAGAGCGGCCCGCGUCUGAUUAGCUAGUUGGUUGAGGUAAUGGCUCACCAAGGCGACGAUCAGUAGCUGGUCUGAGAGGAUGAUCAGCCACAUUGGGACUGAGACACGGCCCAAACUCCUACGGGAGGCAGCAGUGGGGAAUCUUGCGCAAUGGGCGAAAGCCUGACGCAGCCAUGCCGCGUGAAUGAUGAAGGUCUUAGGAUUGUAAAAUUCUUUCACCGGGGGCGAUAAUGACGGUACCCGGAGAAGAAGCCCCGGCUAACUUCGUG